GACGAACGCUGGCGGCGUGCUUAACACAUGCAAGUCGAGCGGUAAGGCCUUUCGGGGUACCCGAGCGGCGAACGGGUGAGUAACACGUGGGUGAUCUGCCCUGCACUUCGGGAUAAGCCUGGGAAACUGGGUCUAAUACCGGAUAUGACCUCCUAUCGCAUGGUGGGUGGUGGAAAGAUUUAUCGGUGCAGGAUGGGCCCGCGGCCUAUCAGCUUGUUGGUGGGGUAAUGGCCUACCAAGGCGACGACGGGUAGCCGACCUGAGAGGGUGACCGGCCACACUGGGACUGAGACACGGCCCAGACUCCUACGGGAGGCAGCAGUGGGGAAUAUUGCACAAUGGGCGAAAGCCUGAUGCAGCGACGCCGCGUGAGGGAUGACGGCCUUCGGGUUGUAAACCUCUUUCAGCAGGGACGAAGCGCGAGUGACGGUACCUGCAGAAGAAGCACCGGCUAACUACGUG
rnacentral:rRNA from 1 species